UUAACUCAAAUUUGUAUGGAGUUGGAACAGCGCCCCUAGCGGCAAACGUUCCAACUCUAUACAAAUUUGAGCUA
rnacentral:pre_miRNA from 1 species